rnacentral:rRNA from 1 species
AGCAGCCGCGGUAAUUCCAGCUCCAAUAGCGUAUAUUAAAGUUGUUGCAGUUAAAAAGCUCGUAGUUGAAUUUCGGGGUCAGUAGAUUGGUCGUGCCACUGGUAUGUACUGGUCUUACUGGCUCCUCCUUCCUGAUGAACCGUAAUGCCAUUAAUUUGGUGUUGCGAGGAGACUGGACUGUUACUUUGAAAAAAUUAGAGUGUUUAAAGCAGGCUAACGCUUGAAUACAUUAGCAUGGAAUAAUGAAAUAGGACGUUCGAUCUUAUUUUGUUGGUUUCUAGGAUUGACGUAAUGAUUAAUAGGGAUAGUUGGGGGCAUUAGUAUUCAAUUGUCAGAGGUGAAAUUCUUGGAUUUAUUGAAGACUAACUACUGCGAAAGCAUUUGCCAAGGAUGUUUUCAUUAAUCAAGAACGAAAGUUAGGGGAUCGAAGACGAUCAGAUACCGUCGUAGUCUUAACCAUAAACUAUGCCGACUAGGGAUCGGAUGAUGUUAAUUUUUUAAUGUACUCAUUCGGUACG